ACACAGGUGAUGUUCCUUAAAUCCUUAACUCCCAGAAGGACAGAAUUGCAUCAGAACCUCCACUUUCAGCUCACUUCACCUCAUCUCACCUCUUACCUGGGCCAGGACAAGUGCUGUCCAUCUCACCCUUCAUGGAGAACACUGCACAAGAGGAGUCGAGGACACCACCCUGUCUGCUGUGAGGUCCCCAGCUUGUCCACCUGGGAAUUGUAAAAUUCCAUGUACAGGACCUGGGCAUGCUCGAGACCAGGGAGUGUAACACCCCAGUCUGCCCAGUGAUGGAAAGUUAGAAACUGGAAAUGUACCUGGAUGCCACCCUGAGUCAGCCCAAACCGAAG